UACGUAGGGUGCGAGCGUUAAUCGGAAUUACUGGGCGUAAAGUGUGCGCAGGCGGCGUUGCAAGUCGAGUGUGAAAUCCCCGAGCUUAACUUGGGAAUUGCGCUCGAAACUACGAUGCUAGAGUGUGGCAGAGGAAGGUGGAAUUCCACGUGUAGCGGUGAAAUGCGCAGAUAUCAGGAAGAACACCUAUGGCGAAGGCAGCACUCUGGGACGGUACUGACGCUGAGACGCGAAAGCGUGGGGAGCGAACAGG
rnacentral:rRNA from 1 species